rnacentral:rRNA from 1 species
GACGAACGCUGGCGGCGUGCUUAACACAUGCAAGUCGAACGGAAAGGCCCUGCUUUUGUGGGGUGCUCGAGUGGCGAACGGGUGAGUAACACGUGAGUAACCUGCCCUUGACUUUGGGAUAACUUCAGGAAACUGGGGCUAAUACCGGAUAGGAGCUCCUGCUGCAUGGUGGGGGUUGGAAAGUUUCGGCGGUUGGGGAUGGACUCGCGGCUUAUCAGCUGGUUGGUGGGGUAGUGGCUUACAAAGGCUUUGACGGGUAGCCGGCCUGAGAGGGUGACCGGCCACAUUGGGACUGCGAGACGGCCCAGACUCCUACGGGAGGCAGCAGUGGGGAAUAUUGCACAAUGGGCGGAAGCCUGAUGCAGCAACGCCGCGUGCGGGAUGACGGCCUUCGGGUUGUAAACCGCUUUCGCCUGUGACGAAGCGUGAGUGACGGUAAUGGGUAAAGAAGCACCGGCUAACUACGUG